GUCCCUACCACUGGAUUUAGACAAGAUUGGAGAACCAACCAGGAACAAGAUUUCAAGCAUCGUGUUUUUGUUUUCUUGUGGAUCUAAACACUCAUAUGAGUUAAGAAAUGGUAAUACGUCUUCAGAUUUGGUGAAUGUCAUGUCUAAUUGAUAAUUUUUCUGGCGCCACUUUAACGGUGAUCACAAUUUUUUUCUUGAAACCAUGUCUCUGUGGUGAAUGUCAUGCAACAAUUUUCAUAUUCACAGACCUGAUGUGGCUUGGUUUCCUGGUUUGUAGCUGUCUGAACAUUUUAGAUCGGGUUCCACAUUUUAUUGAAGAAACGAUGUUUUUUGAUAAAUUAUAUUUUUAUGAUUUAUUUGCCAACUUUUCGUCAAGGUUUAUCUGGAGAACUCAGAAUAUCUGCGUAUCAAGAAUGUUGCAAUUAGUGUGUAGGGGCUUUUUCAGUUGAUGAAGUUUCAGCAACCAUCGACUCAUAUGGUAUGUAUCCACCUGUAUCAGAUAAAGGUUAAUGAGGUUCAACGGCACAUCUAUUAAAGAGAUGGACCGUUGGUGGAAAUAACGUCCGGACUUCAAAUGUUAUAAAGAUGAUUGGUUCUGUAAGUGUACUUUCCUUGAGAGCUAUCUCUUUAUUUGAUCCAAUUGUUGUUAUUGCAAUGUCAUUUUUUCAUUAGA